AUGGGCAGAAGACAGUUAAGAACAGUAAGUUUCCAAGAAGUUACUACAAGUGCACCCAUAAUGGAUGCAGUGUGAAGAAGCAAGUCCAACGCAAUUCUAAAGAUGAAGAGAUUGUAGUGACCACUUAUGAAGGAAUGCAUACGCAUCCAACUGAGACAUGUACUGAUAACUUUGAAGAAAUAAUCCUCAGGCAGAUGCAAACUUAUAGGCUCCUUUCUAAUACUCACGUAUGAAUUACAACUGGGGAAUAAAUUAAUAAUCUUCCACGUACAGUAGGAACAUGUAUUUUAAUUAAUUCUCUGUGGCAGGGAAGGAUGCACUGGGGAGGAUCCUGUGCCAAGAUUAAAUAUUCAUGUUAGUUUUUCCUGGUUCAAUCCAGACUGAACCAGGAAAA
rnacentral:misc_RNA from 1 species